GCGGUCGUGGCGAAGGGGUUAACGCACCGGUUUGUGGAUCCGGCAUCCGCGGGUUCAAGUCCCGUCGUCCGCC
rnacentral:tRNA from 2 species